AUUGAACGCUGGCGGCAGGCCUAACACAUGCAAGUCGAACGAGUGGCGGACGGGUGAGUAAUGUCUGGGAAACUGCCCGAUGGAGGGGGAUAACUACUGGAAACGGUAGCUAAUACCGCAUACCAUCGGAUGUGCCCAGAUGGGAUUAGCUUGUAGGUGAGGUAACGACCUACCAAGGCGACGAUCCGUAACUGGUCUGAGAGGAUGAUCAGUCACACUGGAACUGAGACACGGUCCAGACUCCUACGGGAGGCAGCAGUGGGGAAUAUUGGACAAUGGGCGAAAGCCUGAUCCAGCCAUGCCGCGUGUGUGAAGAAGGUCUUCGGAUUGUAAAGCACUUUAAGUUGGGAGGCGUUACCAACAGAAUAAGCACCGGCUAACUUCGUGCCAGCAGCCGCGGUAAUUC
rnacentral:rRNA from 1 species